rnacentral:rRNA from 1 species
UGGGGAAUUUUGGACAAUGGGGGAAACCCUGAUCCAGCCAUCCCGCGUGUGCGAUGAAGGCCUUCGGGUUGUAAAGCACUUUUGGCAGGAAAGAAACGUCAUGGGUUAAUACCCCGUGAAACUGACGGUACCUGCAGAAUAAGCACCGGCUAACUACGUGCCAGCAGCCGCGGUAAUACGUAGGGUGCAAGCGUUAAUCGGAAUUACUGGGCGUAAAGCGUGCGCAGGCGGUUCGGAAAGAAAGAUGUGAAAUCCCAGAGCUCAACUUUGGAACUGCAUUUUUAACUACAGGGCUAGAGUGUGUCAGAGGGAGGUGGAAUUCCGGGUGUAGCAGUGAAAUGCGUAGAUAUGCGGAGGAACACCGAUGGCGAAGGCAGCCUCCUGGGAUAACACUGACGCUCAUGCACGAAAGCGUGGGGAGCAAACAGG